AAACCAACAACGCAAAUGAUCUGAAGUGUACGAGAAGGAACGGUGACCAUGUUGUCAUAGGAUUUGGAAAAUGUUGGAUUCAAGAUGGAGGCCUUGAAGUUAAGUCUACGCCUCUCCUGGCUGCUACCACAGAAUGGCACAUCUCUUCUAUUACGGGCAAUUUCCUGGGUUUUAUAAGACACGUUUCUGUUACAACCACCCCAAACCUGAGACCUGUACUUAGGCUGCAUGCGGAAUAAGCAGCUUUUCCUCAGCGGGCCUGCGACUCGAGCCGCCGCUGGAGAGCACCGCCGUCGAGGGAGCAGCUCGAGGACGGAGCGGAGCGGCUUUGUUCUGAGGCGAUGCUGACAGUCUCUUUAUCUCCUCCUGUCAGACAGAACUCUGUUUGAUCUGCAGCUUCUUUUGCACAUCUUCCACAUUCUGGUCAGAUGACCUCAGCUUGCUUUGCUUCAACAACAAGAAAAAAGUGUGAGGGGAAAAGUGGUUGUGUUGCAAUUAAGGAGUGACCUUUACAUGUUUUUGUGAGUUUCGCACAUACAGUGGAGUAUAUGUUCUUUAUCGACACAAUGCUAGCGAGGGUUCCUGGCCUUCGCUAUCAAACAAAGUUGAAGUGAAUCUAAUCCGCUGUCUCUAUCUUCAUCUCCCAGGGUGAUUUUUUUUUUUUAGUAGUUCACAUCACAAACGGCAAUUAAAAGGGAUGUGCCGCACUGACUACGUAUAGAGAGAGACAGAAAGCGAGAGAAGGAUGUAAAGAGAAGAAGUAUGCCACCUCUUCCUCAAUAAAACCGCCACUGACGCCACCUGCCUAUUGAUCUUUAUUACAAUAGCAGCAAGCUGUACAGCGUUUGAUGGUUUUGUACAGAUCUUAGCCAGCCUCAUUCAUAAUUACCACUACACAUGUAGAACCAAGGGCAACUUCAGACGGGACGGCGUUUGAAAACGCCACUGCCGCCAGACUGGAGGGGAUGAUGGGUAAUCUCGAAGGGGCCCUCGCAGUGUAGCACCGUGAGCCCCGGGGCUAUCGUUCCUCCCACCGCAUACCUGCAGCAACUUUACCAAGAUCAUAUUAGGGAGAUGAUUCGAAAUGAGCACAAGGGGCCGACCUCAUUUUUGUGUGCUCAACGUAGGAAAAAAAAGAAAAGCGUCUUUGCGGCUGGCUUCAGCAAUGAGUUAGCAAUGUUUGAUUCAGAUUUUUUGAUUUAAAAAGGUGGUUGUGUUCACCAAACAUAGUGCUUAAGAGUUUCAGUUUUGCUUGUGAAGCAGGUGGAAUGGAACAGGGGAUAAUUACAGGAAGCAACCUGAAGUUUGCAUGAUUCCCAAGUGAAUGCUUUAAAAAAAAUUCAUUUUACAACAGAUUAAUCCUGGUUUGCUUAUAGAGAGAGACGGACGGACGGACGGACGGACAGACAGACAGACAGACAGACAUAUAGAAAUGUUGUUCUCUGACAUC